rnacentral:lncRNA from 1 species
UUGUUUUUGGUAGAUUCAAACCCUUUUUAUUUUCCCCUAAUUUUUUUCUUUUGGCCAUAAGCACAAACUCAAACUUUAUAAUUUUUAUAAAAUCAUGAUAAAUCUUAAUUCAAUUAAACAUGAGACACAACGAGUCCUCUAAAAAAAAUUAGACCUAUGAGUGACAAAAUAAUCUAAUUGGCAUGAACAAUUCAAGAAU